rnacentral:rRNA from 1 species
GAGGGCAAGUCUGGUGCCAGCAGCCGCGGUAAUUCCAGCUCCAAUAGCGUAUAUUAAAAUUGUUGCAGUUAAAAAGCUCGUAGUUGAAUUUCUGCUGCUCCGCAUUUUCCCUUUGAGGGGUUUUUGCGCUGUGGCUUAUUUCGGACUGUGUUAUGCACUGUCCGGAUGUUUACUUUGAGAAAAUUAGAGUGCUCAAAGCAGGCUUUUGCCUUGAAUAGUUAGCAUGGAAUAAUAAAGUAGGACUUUGGUUCUAUUUUGUUGGUUUUAGGUACCAAAGUAAUGGUUAAUAGGAACAGUUGGGGGCAUUCGUAUUUAACUGUCAGAGGUGAAAUUCUUAGAUUUGUUAAAGACGAACUACUGCGAAAGCAUUUGCCAAGGAUGUUUUCAUUAAUCAAGAACGAAAGUUAGGGGAUCGAAGACGAUCAGAUACCGUCGUAGUCCUAACCAUAAACUAUGCCGACUAGAGAUUGGAGGUCGUCAGUUUUUACGACUCCUUCAGCACCUUGAGAG